AUGAAGCGCUUCUUCCAGCCCGUACUCAAGGACGGAUCCCCCGCCAAGAAGAGGCCCGCCGGAGCCGCGAUCUCUGACUGCGUUGAUGGCCGCGCCCCCACCGCGGCCGACGCCGGCGGGGACGGCCCUCCCGGCGAGGAGCCACGCAGGUUCAUCACGUGGAACGCCAACAGCCUUCUGCUCCGGAUGAAGAGCGACUGGCCCGCGUUCUGUCAGUUCGUCGCCCGCCUCGACCCCGACGUCAUCUGCGUCCAGGAAGUGCGGAUGCCAGCAGCUGGUUCCAAAGGGGCACCUAAAAAUCCUAGUGAGCUAAAAGACGACACAACGUCGUCACGCGAAGAAAAACAGACAGUGCUGCGUGCUUUGUCGAGCUCACCUUUCAAAGACUACCGUGUGUGGUGGUCCCUUUCAGAUUCAAAAUAUGCAGGCACAGCUGUGUUUAUGAAGAAGAAGUUUGAACCAAAGAAAGUGUCAUUCAACUUGGAUAGAACAUCUACUAAGCAUGAUGCAGACGGUCGUGUCAUCAUUGUGGAAUUUGAAUCAUUCUUGUUGCUAAACACAUAUGCUCCAAACAACGGGUGGAAAGAGGAGGAAAAUUCAUUUCAAAGAAGAAGAAAGUGGGAUAAAAGAAUGUCGGAGUUUGUUCAACAAGUAGACAAGCCCUUAAUCUGGUGCGGAGACCUGAACGUUAGUCAUGACGAAAUCGAUGUCAGCCAUCCUGAUUUUUUUAGCGAUGCUAAGCUCAAUGGAUAUAUCCCUCCAAAUAAAGAGGACUGUGGACAGCCAGGAUUCACCCUUGCAGAGAGACAGCGCUUUGGCAAUAUAUUGUCCCAGGGAAAGCUGGUAGAUGCUUACAGAUACCUGCACAAAGAAAAAGACAUGGAGUGUGGCUUCUCUUGGUCUGGGAAUCCAGUUGGGAAGUACCGAGGAAAGAGAAUGCGGAUUGACUAUUUUGUUAUUUCAGAAGGGUUGAAAGACAGAAUUGUUUCAUGUGAAAUGCAUGGUCAUGGAAUUGAACUGGAAGGAUUUUAUGGAAGUGAUCACUGUCCUGUUUCACUUGUGCUCUCCAAAGAAGCAGCGGAAGCACCAGAAUCGAAGAGCUCCAGCUAA
rnacentral:rRNA from 1 species